rnacentral:rRNA from 1 species
UGAGGAAUAUUGGGCAAUGCCCGCAAGGGUGACCCAGCAACGCCGCGUGGAGGAUGAAUGUCGUAAGAUUGUAAACUCCUGUUAGAGGGGAAGAAUAGUACCGGUUGGACCGGUAUAUGACUGUACCCUCAGAGAAAGCCCCGGCUAACUACGUGCCAGCAGCCGCGGUAAUACGUAGGGGGCAAGCGUUGUACGGAUUUACUGGGUGUAAAGGGCGCGCAGGCGGGAUAAAAAGUCAGUGGUGAAAUCCUACAGCUUAACUGUAGAACUGCCUUUGAUACUAUUAUUCUUGAGUUCGGGAGAGAGAGACGGAAUUCCAGGUGUAGUGGUGAAAUACGUAGAGAUCUGGAAGAACACCAGUUGCGAAGGCGGUCUCUUGGUCCGACACUGACGCUGAGGCGCGAAAGCGUGGGGAGCAAACA